CCUACGGGUGGCAGCAGUGGGGGAUAUUGGACAAUGGGGGAAACCCUGAUCCAGCGACGCCGCGUGAGUGAAGAAGUAUUUCGGUAUGUAACGCUCUGUCAGCAGGGAAGAAAGAAAUGACGGUACCUGACCAAGCAGCCCCGGCUACCUACGUGCCAGCAGCCGCGGUAAUGCGUAGGGGGCAAUCGUUAUGCGGAAUUACUGGGUGUAAAGGGAGCGUAGACGGUGAAGCAAGUCUGGAGUGAAAGGCGGUGGCACAACCCCCGGACUGCUCUGGAAACUGUGUAACUUGAGUGCAGGAGAGGUAAGCGGAAUUCCUAGUGUAGCGGUGAAAUGCGUAGAUAUUAGGAGGAACACCAGUGGCGAAGGCGGCUUACUGGACUGUAACUGACGUUGAGGCUCGAAAGCGUGGGGAGCAAACAGGAUUAGAUACCCCAGUAGUC
rnacentral:rRNA from 1 species